AAAGGUGAUUGUGUUAAACUGCAAAUAACACAGUUUAGUGUUAGUGUUAUUGCUUCUAGAACGUGGAUUUUUUUUUUUUUUUUUUUUUUUUUUUUGAGACGGUGUCUCGCUCUGUCCCCCAGGCUGGAGUGCUGUGGCAGGAUCUCGGCUGACUGCAACCUCCGCCUCCUGAGUUCAAGUGAUUCUUGUGCUUCAACCUCCAGAGUAGCUGGGACUACAGACGCCCACCAUCACGCCCGAAUAAUUUUUUUUGUGUGUGUUUUCAGUAGAGACAGGGUUUCACCAUGUUCGCCAGGAUGGUCUCCAUCUCCUGACCUCGUGAUCCGCCCACCUCGGGCCUCCCAAAGUGCUGGGAUUACAGGCAAGAGCCACAGCGCCUGGCCAAACGUGGACUUCUCGACUCCAAUUCAGUUUGUUUAUUCCAUCAGCAGAUUUCCCUUUCUUUAUAUAAAUGGCCCUAGCAAGGACUGUGGCACCAGCAGCCAUGGUGAGCUGAUGUUCAUUAUGGGAGCACCAGGGAUGGCAGCUGACUCUCCCACCUCUACCCAUGCAUGGAAGGAUUCCGCUAAACCAGGAUUCCGUGUCAGCGCAGAACCCCAUUACAGCCACGGGCAACCUGCAAGAGUCCAGUGACACUGAGAUGCUAGGACAUUCCAUCAGGAGCCUCCACUUACCUAGUUACGUGGCUUGAAAGAUGACCCCAAUUCUGAAAUGAGAUGCCACCCUGAGCAGAGGGCCCAGCCAACCUGUGCCUAGAUUCCUGACGCAGGGAACUGUGAGAUAACACAUUGGUGUUGUUUUAAGCUGGUAAAUCUGUGGUACUCAAAAAGCAAUGCAACUUUAAAUAAAAAUAUUGACUAGGAUAAACUAAUUUUAUUUAUAUAUGUGCAUUUAUUUGUGUAUCUGUGUAUGUAAACAUACAUCAACAAAGAGGCUGUCCCUAACCAAACUUUAGACAGGCUCCUCUGAGCUCAUUUUUGGCUAGGCCUCAUCCUUGGUGUGUUCUGCAGUGCCCAGUUUUAGCAAGACUCUGGCCACGUUGGCUUAGCCAGAAUCUCACGCCCUUGAGAUCUGAUCCAAGUCCUUAUUCCGCACCAUCCCCCAAGUGAUUAUCUGAUCUCCCUAGCUUGCAUUCAGCAAGAAUCCUGUCAAGUCCAUUUAGCCAGAAAUCCUUCAUCUCGCUGACUUAAUUCAGUAGUUUUCCAUCAUCCACUGACCACCAACUUGGCUUCUUGGCUAUAAAUCCGCACUUUCCCAUGUUGUAUUAGGAAAUGAACCCAGUUCUAUACUGAGGCCUCUUUUUCCCUGUUUUGACAGCCCUUAAAAUCUGUUUUUACUACAUAUCUCUCUGGCUCUUGUUUUUCUUUAAAAGCGCAGGCAUAUGUAAUAAACACAUAAAAUGCACACAGCCUAUCCACACACUCAUGGGUCAUUUAUAAGAAACUAGACAGCGUAUGGUAAUGUACACAUGCAUGUAUAGUGUAUCCAUGUGUAUAUUACUUACUGGAGAAGUGAGAAGUGAGGAGUUUCCUUUAACUAGGAUAUUAAUGAGGCCCUUAAUUGACCCAAAGAGGUUUGUUGUGAUUUAAUUUUUUCCUCCUGUUCUAUUUCUUCAGUAAACCCGGCAGUAGUCUAACCCUAAAAAAGGAGUUGAUGUCCUUAUAGGUCAUUACCUUUAAAGAAAAC
ensembl:lincRNA